ACAGCCCUGCUAACAUUGCACACCUGGUUAAGGCAGACAAGAACUGAAAUAUCUUUCUACCUGAAUUUGCAGGGCUGAGGGGGAGAAUCUUAAAAGCUCGAGUGUAAUGACCUUACAUGAGAAUUUGAACCCAAAAUGAAGAGUUAAAACUUGCCUCAUAAUAAAAGAUGGAUAAAGCCAUUAUUAUCAAAGAGAGGGUCUGCCAGGCACCGGGCUAGGGUAUGUCUUUGAGGUGGAGAGGAACGCUGCCUCCUAUAGCAUUAUUGAGGGUCCCAAGUACAGGGUGAUUUCUCUUCUGUGUAGACCCAAGCCGAAUCACUCCAGGAAUAUUGGCAAGAGCCGGUGGUGGGCUGCAGCAGUUGUGUGGAAGCGGUCAGUGACCCCAUAGAAAGAUGAGCUUUGGGCAAGCACAGACAGGAAGGGUGAAUGAACCCUGAUGGUUUAGCAAAGCAAGGGCCAGGUAGUUACAGUAAGAGGUGGUCUUGUCCCGUUCAGUGCUCUGUUAAUUAUCCAUGUGAGCAGGAAUUGUUUCUCUGGAGCAGUUACUGAUACAAACAGUUAAUGAAACUCCAUCUGUAUAGCGGCUUCCAAGUGGGAGUGCAGGCUGAAUUCAUUAGUUUCACAUGUUCAGUUUUUUUUUUUUUUUCUGAAGCCAGGAGAAAACCCACAGUCCAAACAAACAGCAUUUGUAAAGUUCUGAAAAGACACUGCUACUGGAAAUGAGGAGAUGGGGGGAAAAAUGAAUAAAUGCUUUCAAGCAAACGCUACUUUCUUUAAAAUGAAAAACAAUGGUAAAGGCUUCCAUAUGUAAUUAAAAUCUCAUCCUUGAAGUUACAUUGCCACUGGCUCCCAAAGAACUCAAUUAACAGGAAACUGCAAAGAAUAUGGUAUUUUCUUCAAGAUACUUUAAGAAGUACUACUAAGAAGACAAUAGGUUGGAGAGUAGCUUUUACCACUAAAUGAUAAGCAAUUAUUGUUCCUUCCAGGGUAGAAGAAAAGGGAGUAUGCUAAGAAAAGUAGGUUUAUAAUAUAAAAUUAGAUUUUCAAGUGUGCAUAUUUACCCCUAGACCUAAGCUGAAAAUGAAACGUUUGUGCAAAGUCCAAACUUGACUAAGAAAAUUCUUUAAAAAUAUACCACAACCCCUCCCCUCCCCCACCAUUCAGCCUAUUUCACCUGAGAAAGGAAAGGCAUUCCCUACAUGCGCACUCGACUGAGGUCUCCUUGUUCAGAGACUUUCUUAAAACUGAAGAUGGAACGCAGUCCUGAGGACCACCUCGCUCCUCAAAGUCAGUUUCUAGGAGCCCUGGAUACUAUUUAAUUUCAAAGUAUUGAAUGAGGCUUCCAUGCAGACAUGUUGAACUGCAAGAUUCCACUCCUGACGCCAGAAUUUGUCAAGAGGACCGCAUUGUUGUUUCUCACUGAGGCAUAGGACUGACUGCGGGCCAUUGUUUCUCCAGCUCAAGUGGGCCUGUCUGGUUCGUGUUGGAAGAAUAGGGGCGACAUGCGUGAGUUCCCAAGUAUAAAGGAACUACCGGUUCUAGAAAGACACGGGAGUUUAGCCACUAAUGCAGAGUAAAUAAACAUUUUUCACCACCUCUUGCUCCCUGUGAUUUUUUUUUUUAAAGGUCAAGAGCUGCCAUUACAGUAUUUUAAAAGCUUCAAAUUAUGUUUAAAGCACGUAUCACUAAACUCACAGAAACCUUAUCAGAAUUUGGGAACCCACUGUGAUUGUUUGGUCCUUGAGUUUUAUCAUCACUGGAAGGCAGACUGUAAAAGGAAUGCAGAUGCCCUGUCGCUUCUAAUAUCCUGCAAUUUGCACAAAGUGAAUGUGGCUCAAGCCCUUCCACAUUUCCCUCAAAAUACUGCAAGUAUGGAGACUGGUCAGUUUCAAAUCUUCCUAAGGUCCAUGUUGCAGGUCACACAUUCUAGACAGAUAAGAGUAAGCCUUUGGGAACCUUUCAUGAUGAGCAUGUUCAAAAUGCAAAGAACGGGUCAUGUUCCUGGAAAAUCUCCAACUGUGUGUGCGAAAGAGAGAGUAAAAGGCAGAGGGAGAUUUCU
ensembl:lncRNA